AGCAGCCGCGGUAAUUCCAGCUCCAAUAGCGUAUAUUUAAGUUGUUGCAGUUAAAAAGCCGUAGUUGAAUUUCGGGAUUGACGUGAUGGUCGUGCCUUACGGGGUAUGAACUGUUGCAUCAAUUUCUCACCUUCUGGAGAAAUAUGAUGUCCUUAAUUGGGUGUCAUAUGGAACCAGACUUUUACCUUGAAAAAAUUAGAGUGUUUAAAGCAGGCUUAUUGCUCGAAUACAUUAGCUGGAAUA
rnacentral:rRNA from 1 species